CAUAUUGUUAUAGCACAUUUUACUGAACUGCUAUCGUAGAUGAUUUAAAUAUUUCUGUAUUAUAUAAUAGCGUUAGAUAAACGCUAUGGUAGAGCGAAACCUAAAAUGGCAUUUAAUUAAUGUUAUUUUGUAAAUUAAGUGAGCGGGAAUAUAAAGUCAUUGAUCCCGCCAAUACUUAGCGGAAAAUUAGAUUUAAGCGCCAAAGAUUUUAUUUAAGCGGAUUGAGUAAUGCUGUCAAAGAUAUAUAAUAGCAUUUUAUAACGCUAAGAAAAGCUAUUUGAACCCCUAAACCCUGAACAUGGUUUUAAACCCUAAACACAAUUUUAAACCCUAAACUCUAAAAACAACCUUUAAAACUCUAUUUUUUUUUCAUAUUAUAACUUCAAAUCUUAAAAUUAAACUCACAAGUUAAUAUUUUUAAUCUUAAACUAUAAUUGUUUGAACACCUAUCUUUAAUCUUUAAUCAACUCUAGCUAUAUAUUAAAUCCUAACUUCAAACAUAAACUAAACAUUCAAUACUCAAAAUAUAAACUUCAAAUCUAAAUUAUUAAAAAUAUAACUACAAAUGUUAUAUCUAGUCUUCAAAUCUAUUAUUUUCCAAUUUUAAUCCAAGAUACUAAACUUUAACCCUAAACCUCAUAUUCCAACAUCCAAACCUUAAAUUGCAAAACUAAAAUUUACUCUUAAUCAUAUUUUUUUAUAAACCAUAAAAUCUAAAUUUAAAGCUUUUCAACAUUUGAAUCAAACAUACAAAUUUAUAAGCAAAUUAUAAAUCAGAUUUCUGUGUAAACAUACAAAUUUUAAAAAUGAUAACCAAAAUCAUAAUCUUGAUAUAAAUCUAAUAUUUUCAAAUUUAAACAUCAAUUCUUAAAAAUAUAUUAGUUUAUUAUGUUCAAAAAAUAAAAGUUUGGACUUAAAUUAUAAAUUUCAAAAUAUAAAUUUUGAAAUAAGAUGUGACUAAGAAAAAUUAUUUACAAAACAAAUUAUCAAAUACUGAAGAAAAAGAAAAAAGAAAAAAAAUUCCUAACCAAUCAAAUUCAGAUACAUAGAUCACACUUCUGAACCGUUGGAUUAACUUAGAUCUAAAGGUAAAGGUCGAUAUUUAUUAUUUUUAAUUUUUAAUUUUAUUUCUCCUCUCUCUCUCUCUCUCCCUUCUCCGCGACGACAGAUCUGAUUCUCCUUCAUCAUUCUCUUCUUCUUCACUCUCUUAUCUAUCAUCUCUCCCAUCUCUCUCCACGCCUCUCUCAUCCUCCCAUCUCUCUCCCACCACGUCUCCUCCUUGUCUCACCACCACCGCUGUCACCCUCCCACCACCACCACGGUGGAGGCAAGGUUCAUGGUAGUUGGAGGAGGUAAGGUCCAUUGUGGUUUGAAGACGCAAGUCUCGUGGCGGCUGGAGGAGGCAAGGCUCAUGGCUGUUGGAAGAGGGGCAAGGCUAUGGAGUCUCUUUUUUGUUAGGUUUAGAAUUUUUUGUUAGGUUUAGAUUUGGUUUAGUGUAAACCAGGAUAGAGAAAUUGUACUGGUUUGAGUUUAUUUUUAAUUUUUUGUUUAGUUUUGUAAAAUAUAAUUAAUUUGUAAGUCAAUUUUAAUUUAUAAAUAAAAUUUAUUUUAUUUCAAUAUAAAA